UUUCCGUAGGUACGUUGACACCACCGCUCCUCGUCCUCGUGGAACCGUCGCUAACAUCGCUUCCAGGUGAACCUGCGGAAGGAUCAUUACCGUGGUAGGCUUCGGCCUCAUUCACACCCCUUGUGUCCCCUCUGGUUUCUUUGGCGAGGUCACUCGUCAAACGUUAACGCGGGUAAUGCGAUACUGUCCGAGUACGAUUGAAUUAUCA
rnacentral:misc_RNA from 1 species